rnacentral:rRNA from 1 species
GACGAACGCUGGCGGCGUGCUUAACACAUGCAAGUCGAACGGAAAGGCCCUGCUUUUGUGGGGUGCUCGAGUGGCGAACGGGUGAGUAACACGUGAGUAACCUGCCCUUGACUUUGGGAUAACUUCAGGAAACUGGGGCUAAUACCGGAUAGGAGCUCCUGCUGCAUGGUGGGGGUUGGAAAGUUUCGGCGGUUGGGGAUGGACUCGCGGCUUAUCAGCUUGUUAGUGGGGUAGUGGCUUACCAAGGCUUUGACGGGUAGCCGGCCUGAGAGGGUGACCGGCCACAUUGGGACUGAGAUACGGCCCAGACUCCUACGGGAGGCAGCGGUGGGGAAUAUUGCACAAUGGGCGGAAGCCUGAUGCAGCAACGCCGCGUGCGGGAUGACGGCCUUCGGGUUGUAAACCGCUUUCGCCUGUGACGAAGCGUGAGUGACGGUAAUGGGUAAAGAAGCACCGGCUAACUACGUG